UACGGAGGGGGCUAGCGUUGUUCGGAAUUACUGGGCGUAAAGCGUGCGUAGGUGGUUUGUUAAGUCUGUUGUGAAAGCCCCGGGCUCAACCUGGGAAUGGCAAUGGAUACUGGCAGGCUAGAGUGCGGUAGAGGGUAGUGGAAUUCCCGGUGUAGCGGUGAAAUGCGCAGAUAUCGGGAAGAACACCCGUGGCGAAGGCGGCUCUCUGGGACGGUACUGACGCUGAGACGCGAAAGCGUGGGGAGCGAACAGG
rnacentral:rRNA from 1 species